AGGGUUCGAUUAUGGCUCAGGAUGAACGCUGGCGGCGUGCUUAACACAUGCAAGUCGAACGAAGCGAUUUGGCGGAAGUUUUCGGAUGGAAGCUAGAUUGACUGAGUGGCGGACGGGUGAGUAACGCGUGGGUAACCUGCCUCACACUGGGGGACAACAGUUAGAAAUGACUGCUAAUACCGCAUAAGCGCACAGGACCGCAUGGUCCGGUGUGAAAAACUCCGGUGGUGUGAGAUGGACCCGCGUUUGAUUAGCUAGUUGGUGGGGUAACGGCCUACCAAGGCGACGAUCAAUAGCCGACCUGAGAGGGUGACCGGCCACAUUGGGACUGAGACACGGCCCAA
rnacentral:rRNA from 1 species